ensembl:lncRNA
UGGAGACAAACAUCUUGCCAUUUACAGUAGAUCUCUGAAACAUGUAGUUACCCUCCAGCUAUCCAUCCACAAUGCUCAGACCAGUUUGGUUGCUUACCUCCUGAACUGAGGAAUGGGAGCACUGUAACAGACCAGGGAAGACUCAACUCCAAACAAGGUUCAGUACUGUAACAGACCAGGGAACACAUCACCCUGAAGCAGGUUCAGUACUGUAACAGACCAGGGAACACAUCACCCUGAAGCAGGUUCAGUACUGUAACAGACCAGGGACAGCCUCUAGGGAAUACAUCACCCUGAAGCAGGUUCAGUACUG